UACGUAGGGUGCGAGCGUUAAUCGGAAUUACUGGGCGUAAAGCGUGCGCAGGCGGUUUUGUAAGCCAGAUGUGAAAUCCCCGGGCUUAACCUGGGAAUGGCAUUUGGGACUGCAAGGCUCGAAUGCGGCAGAGGAGACUGGAAUUCCUGGUGUAGCAGUGAAAUGCGUAGAUAUCAGGAGGAACACCGAUGGCGAAGGCAGGUCUCUGGGCUGACACUGACGCUCAUGCACGAAAGCGUGGGGAGCAAACAGG
rnacentral:rRNA from 1 species